rnacentral:rRNA from 1 species
UACGGAGGGGACUAGCGUUGUUCGGAAUACUGGGCGUAAAGCGCACGUAGGCGGAUUUGUUAGUCAGGGGUGAAAUCCCGAGGCUCAACCUCGGAACUGCCUUUGAUACUGCAAAUCUCGAGUCCGGAAGAGGUGAGUGGAAUUCCUAGUGUAGAGGUGAAAUUCGUAGAUAUUAGGAAGAACACCAGUGGCGAAGGCGGCUCACUGGCCCGGUACUGACGCUGAUGUGCGAAAGCGUGGGGAGCAAACAGG